ACGCUCUAUAACCCUUUGUGAACAUACCUAUAACUGUUGCUUCGGCGGGUAGGGUCUCCGCGACCCUCCCGGCCUCCCGCCUCCGGGCGGGUCGGCGCCCGCCGGAGGAUAACCAAACUCUGAUUUAACGACGUUUCUUCUGAGUGGUACAAGCAAAUAAUCAAAACUUUUAACAACGGAUCUCUUGGUUCUGGCAUCGAUGAAGAACGCAGCGAAAUGCGAUAAGUAAUGUGAAUUGCAGAAUUCAGUGAAUCAUCGAAUCUUUGAACGCACAUUGCGCCCGCCAGCAUUCUGGCGGGCAUGCCUGUUCGAGCGUCAUUUCAACCCUCAAGCUCUGCUUGGUGUUGGGGCCCUACAGCUGAUGUAGGCCCUCAAAGGUAGUGGCGGACCCUCCCGGAGCCUCCUUUGCGUAGUAACUUUACGUCUCGCACUGGGAUCCGGAGGGACUCUUGCCGUAAAACCCCCCAAUUUUCCAAAGGUUGACCUCGGAUCAGGUAGGAAUACCCGCUGAACUUAAGCAUAUA
rnacentral:rRNA from 1 species